rnacentral:rRNA from 1 species
AUUGAACGCUGGCGGCAUGCUUUACACAUGCCAGUCGAACGGUAACAGGCCUUCGGGUGCUGACGAGUGGCGAACGGGUGAGUAAUGCAUCGGAACGUGCCCAGAGGUGGGGGAUAACGCAGCGAAAGCUGUGCUAAUACCGCAUGUGAUCUGAGGAUGAAAGCGGGGGACCAAGCAGCAAUGUUUGGCCUCGCGCCUCUGGAGCGGCCGAUGUCAGAUUAGGUAGUUGGUGGGGUAAAGGCCUACCAAGCCGACGAUCUGUAGCUGGUCUGAGAGGACGACCAGCCACACUGGGACUGAGACACGGCCCAGACUCCUACGGGAGGCAGCAGUGGGGAAUUUUGGACAAUGGGCGCAAGCCUGAUCCAGCAAUGCCGCGUGCGGGAAGAAGGCCUUCGGGUUGUAAACCGCUUUUGUACGGAACGAAAAGGCUCUGGCUAAUACCUGGGGCUGAUGACGGUACCAUAAGAAUAAGCACCGGCUAACUACGUG